GACGAACGCUGGCGACGCGCUUAACACAUGCAAGUCGAACGGAAAGGCCUGCUUUCCCUUGUGGAUUGCGGGUACUCGAGUGGCGAACGGGUGAGUAACACGUGAGUGAUCUGCCCCCAACUUGGGUAUAAGCCUGGGAAACUGGGUCUAAUUCCCGAUAGGACUGCAGGGUGGUGCCUGUGGUGGAAAACGAUUUUCUAGUGGUUGGGGAUGAGCUCGCGGCCUAUCAGCUUGUUGGUGGGGUAAUGGCCUACCAAGGCGGCGACGGGUAGCCGGCCUGAGAGGGUGGACGGCCACAUUGGGACUGAGAUACGGCCCAGACUCCUACGGGAGGCAGCAGUGGGGAAUAUUACACAAUGGGCGGAAGCCUGAUGCAGCGACGCUGCGUGGGGGAUGACGGCCUUCGGGUUGUAAACUCCUUUCGACCGCGAGGAAGCCACCUGGUUGGAAGGGUGGUGACGGUAGUGGUAGAAGAAGCACCGGCUAACUACGUG
rnacentral:rRNA from 1 species